rnacentral:hammerhead_ribozyme from 1 species
GUACUGACGAAGAGUCCCAAACUAGGACGAAACAGCCGUCCAGUAC